UUUGAAUGGAAUAUAUAUUAUGUGAAUAAACAACAGACUUAUAUAAGACAGCAUUAUGUCCUAUGACGGAAGGAUAGAUUGAGCAGAGUCACGUUCGAAAUGGUGCGAGGUUGAAUAAGACUGGGUCAUGUUCGAAAUGGUUUAAGGUUGGUUGAGCCAACAAAUCGGUCAACAAAUCAGUCUUUCUUUUUUUUUUUGAGAAAUAGAUAGCAUGCUACCUGCUUUGUUUAUUUUAUUUAAAAAUAAACUUAGCUAGAAACGUGAAUCAAUUAGAAUUCGAACUUAAUUGGGAUCUCAAGUACUAACCACCAAGUUUUUUGCCACUUGCGCUAGGAACGAUUGAUAACAAAUCACAAUCAAGAUCUAUGAAUACUGUCUGUGCACUUUUAGUAAAUUGGCUACAUCUUUCUAAAAGCCUGAGUUUUUGGGAUUAAGGUUAAUCUAACAAGUUAUAUAGAGCCGGAUGUCACGGAUUCGAUUCCCACAUACUGUGAAUUUGUACAGGUGCUGCAAAGACGACUAACCAAUCUCUCUUUGAAACUAGAUGCCCGGAGAUGUUUGAUUCGUAUGGCUUAAGGGGACCAGCAUCUUACUCUCUGGUAGGAGACCUGCAGGUUAGGUAAAGUUACUUUCGAAAUGGCGGAAGAUCAGAUUGGGCCUAGUCAUGUUGACUGAUUAAGUCGAAUUACAAUGGAAACCCGAAAAUACCGUGUAUGUGUACUUUAAGUGAAUUAUUUGUUUCUUUAAAAACUCGAGCUUUAAGAUUAAUGGUUAGCGCCAAUAAUCCUGUAGGAAUCGGUUUAGGAUCAGUCUUUACACUAAUUGUUUAGUCUUUACACUAAGGGCGUGUUUGGAUCCAUGUAAAAGCAGUCCGAAAAUUUUAUUUCAGUUGAAAAUUUUUUUUCCAUUGUUUGGUUCUCUAUAAAAAAAUUUUCUCGGAAUUUUUUUUUUUACGAAAA
rnacentral:lncRNA from 1 species